UCAUGGCACUGUGAAUCUGCCCACACAACUGCAAUAAAUCUCCUUGCCCCAGGACACUCUGGCUUUUCUCUGCUUGCACAAUGCAACCAUCCAUUAGAGGAAGGGCUGCAACAGAUGGGCUCUCCCUUCUCCAGAAACAAGGCUGGAGAGAGAAGCUGCUGUUCCAGGGCAGGAAUUCCCACCAUCACCAGCCUUGGCAAGCUGCUUCCUUCCCUGUUUCUCAGUUAAUGAAAUCAGCACACUUCUGGUACCUUCACCUGAGACAAACUGUAACAGGCAAAAGAAAAGAUACGUGGCAGAAUGACAAACACAGUAAGUACAAAACCUCUUUCAUGUGAAAAACAAAGUUAGCAGGAGAAGUUGAAUGGGAAGGGAUCACUUGGCGUUUGUCGUUGCCAGUCGUGCCGAGCAGGCCAGGUGCCAGGGAGGGGGGACGGACACCGUACAAGAGCUCUGUCUCGUGCCUCUUUGUUCAGCUGCUGAAGCCUUCUAUGCUGUCAGACAACGAUUUCAAGGGCUGUGGGAGAGCUGUGACAGCUACGCUCCAUACAUAAUCCCUGCAUGUUUUCAGGAAAAAGAAUAUAAGGGGGGAAAGGAGGAAUAAACAAUUGCUGUACUUGCAGUAGUUUCUGUGCCCGUUAAUUCAUCAUUCAAUAGAGGUCUCUACUUCUUUUCCCAUCUGCCCUCCUCCUACCACAUUUUCUGAAUUAAAAUUUAAAAAAAUAAUAAUAAUUAAAAAACCACAAUUAAGCAGCAUUUAUUAACAUCUGCCUGUAGUGACCCAGCUGUUGUUCACCAGCCUCUACAGUGAUGUGUUUUAACAUCCUCCUCUCACCUUUCUACGCUUCUUUCCCAGCUCCUUUGAGCACAGGGGGUUCAGGCUGUUAACUCAGCUCCUUCAGGGACAGCUCUACCUUUCAGUCACUUGUGCAGUGACUUGUACCAAUUGGUCCCAGCCCUGAUCACAGCCUUAAACUCCUGGCGAGCCAUUAAUAAUACACAGCAAUCAUUUUAAUUGCAACCGGGUGUCUGGAAUUUAGGAGCUGUGCACAGACUUCCUUCUAUCCACAAUAUUAUUGUCCCAUUGUGCAUUUUGGAGUUUAGCUCUCAUUAAAAGUAAUAGAGGGAAAUAGUCUGUAGCAAACUGAAUGUGUUUGUUUUCACAGUUCACCUCCUGCUCCUCUGCACUAAAACACUCUCGCUCAGUGACAAGACCACAGCUGUUGCCAUCGUUUCCUUACCUGCAGAGUGCAAUAUUUAGCUGGAGGGACACUGAAGUUUUCUGUUUGUUAGUUAUCAUGUCAACAACUCUCACCUUAUCACUUCAGUUUCCAUUCUGUUGAUAAAACCUGUCAGCCUUCCUUGAGUGGUUCCAGGCCCUCAGAAGAAAUCACAUUAAAUUGGCACAUCCAAGUAAAUCUGGAAGCGAUGUGCUCCUGGCUCACCAAAGGAAAUGGGGGAGGGCUUGAAUUUCUCUCCCUCUUCCUCCCUGCACAGCUCCAAUGUCCGAGUGCUUGGAGCAGUGUUGAAAUCCUCCCUACGGACUCAGCAGUUCAAGUCAGAUCAGGUCUUUGAAUAUGGCCCAGAGGAGACGUCUGUGGAGCCGAAAUUGAUAUGUUUAAACGUAAGAGACAAUAAUCAUUUCUUCAAGUAUAAGCUAAAAAUACCCGGAAAAAAAUGGAAUUCAUAAUGGAGAUUUUAAAGAUCUGUGACACACCAGAGCCUGCACAAGGGUUUUAAUGAGAGAGAAGCCAAUUUAAUUGGUCAGUGCGAGCAGAUGCUUUGCUGGGUGAGUGGGCUACGAGGUCUCACAGCCCUGGUUAACGCCAGGAGCAUCAGCCCUGUCCUCAACAUGGCUGUGACAAGCCCGUGUCACAGCAGCGCAGUGUCAGAACCAGGGAACCUCGGUAAUCAACGUCUCCACGGUGUCAGAUCACAGAGCCACGGGGAGAGAGCACUAAAAGGAGGAGGCAAAAGCUGACAAAGGAACAUUCCUGAAAGUAAUUGCAGGACUGACCAUCUCCUCUUGUCGUUUGCUUCAUUAUCACUCUGGGCAUGAAGCUGAACCAGCCUGUUAAGUUUUAACGCUGCGUUAACAGGGAGCUGCCGAGCACCAGGGCUCAGGUUUACAGGCCUCCCCUGUGAAAACUCUUCUGCAGUGUGUGUCACCGUCCUAGGAAAGCCAGGAAUAACUUCCGUGGCCCGUUCAAUUACAGACACUCACACCCAGCUCCCUCUCCUCGUGGCACAGCUCAUCAAUCAGGGCCUCUGUCACUGUGUCUCUUCUCAUCGCAGUCACCAGAAGGCUCUGAGCUCCCUCCCAGUCCAUGCGACAUUUACUGUCAGGGGCUGUCAACACCAAGAGAUUCUCCCAGGGCCUCCGAGUUCAUCACAAAGCAACAAGAUCUAUCCCCAAAAUGCGCUCCCAGUUCCAGCUCUGGAUUACAGUGACUGACUGAGGGGCUUUGCAGCACUCAGGGAAGAGUGAAACAGCAGCACGAGCUGCAGCUCAUGCCCAAAGACCUUUGUUUUCUUAUUCUCUUGUUAGAAAAAUACAACUGCUUUAAGAGAGGUUUCAGGCUAAUGAUUAAUUAAGCUUCCUCAACACCAUCCCUUAUAAACUUAUUAAGGGAAAGCUGAGAUUGUUUACUUGGAAAUUUAGCCUUCCCAUCUUUAGCAUUGAUCCUGCCUUCACUCUCUGUUUAACAACACAGUGACCUAGUGGAAAAAAUUUAUAAAACUUAAUAAAUUGCAGUAGGCAAUAUUGACAGAGUGUGUAUAUGCACAUUUGGGUUUGUAUGAAGUAUUAUAAGAAAUCUAAUAAAGUAAAACAAACACAUUUGCUUUGUUUGUGAGCUGUGAAACAAGAUCCCUGUAAUUACAAUGUUUGAAGCAUACUUGGUCAAAGGGGUAUGGUGAGAUUUUUGGCCGUAUAUUUCUGGUUUGAGAUUGAAGAACAACUAUUGUUUAUCAAGGGUUACAUGUUGCACAAAACUGCUUUGCUCAAGAUGCAGAAAAAUAAAAAUGUUGAUGAAAACCUAAGUUAGCAGAAGACCUCUAUGAGACCAGAGGAACCAGCACCCAGAGAAUAAAGUUCCAGUGGCAAAUGUGUCUCGAAGAAACAAUGAAGGACUUGGAGAUAUGUUCAUUUUGCCUGACCUUUAAGGGGGAAUGGGCCUUAAUGAGUGUUUAAACCAGUGACUGAAAGAGUGCUUUCAAUUGCAAGGUUUUUAGAAGACCAUAGAAUGUAUACAGCCUUCUAGAACCUUGAUGUCUAUUUUUAACUUGCUUUCUACUACAAGCCUGGUUUCCUCUUCCAAUCAAAAUAAACAUAUUUCUUAAGGA